CUACGUGCCAGCAGCCGCGGUAAUACGGAGGGUGCGAGCGUUAAUCGGAAUUACUGGGCGUAAAGCGAGCGCAGACGGUUACUUAAGCAGGAUGUGAAAUCCCCGGGCUCAACCUGGGAACUGCGUUCUGAACUGGGUGACUAGAGUGUGUCAGAGGGAGGUAGAAUUCCACGUGUAGCAGUGAAAUGCGUAGAGAUGUGGAGGAAUACCGAUGGCGAAGGCAGCCUCCUGGGAUAACACUGACGUUCAUGCUCGAAAGCGUGGGUAGCAAACAGGAUUAGAUACCCUGGUAGUCCACGCCCUAAACGAUGUCAAUUAGCUGUUGGGCAACUUGAUUGCUUAGUAGCGUAGCUAACGCGUGAAAUUGACCGCCUGGGGAGUACGGUCGCAAGAUUAAAACUCAAAGGAAUUGACGGGGACCCGCACAAGCGGUGGAUGAUGUGGAUUAAUUCGAUGCAACGCGAAGAACCUUACCUGGUCUUGACAU
rnacentral:rRNA from 1 species